AUUGAACGCUGGCGGCAUGCCUUACACAUGCAAGUCGAACGGUAACGGGCCUUCGGGUGCCGACGAGUGGCGAACGGGUGAGUAAUGUAUCGGAACGUACCUUUCAGUGGGGGAUAACGUAGCGAAAGUUACGCUAAUACCGCAUAUUCUGUGCGCAGGAAAGCAGGGGAUCGCAAGACCUUGCGCUGAUUGAGCGGCCGAUAUCAGAUUAGCUAGUUGGUGAGGUAAAGGCUCACCAAGGCGACGAUCUGUAGCGGGUCUGAGAGGAUGAUCCGCCACACUGGAACUGAGACACGGUCCAGACUCCUACGGGAGGCAGCAGUGGGGAAUUUUGGACAAUGGGGGCAACCCUGAUCCAGCCAUGCCGCGUGAGUGAAGAAGGCCUCGGGUUGUAAAGCUCUUUCGGCCGGGAAGAAAUCGUAUCAGCUAAUACCUGGUGCGGAUGACGGUACCGGCAUAAGAAGCACCGGCUAACUACGUGCCAGCAGCCG
rnacentral:rRNA from 1 species